GCUGCUUGGUGCUGGUGGAUAACAAGACACUUUCUCUUUUUCUUUCCUUUGACAAAGCAAAUUGCAGCUGUUUCCAUCUCAGGGACCUAGCACAGUGCUUGGUGCAAAGUUACUGUUUCUGAGAAUCUCAUUGUCUUCUCCUGCCAUCUUGUAUUCCCAGCACUGCAGCCCUAGAGAGAAAGCUGGGCUCAUCUCCACCAUAUGGGUGCUGCCAACAUGCAUGAUAAUUAUGCUUUAAGGGACUAUUGCUUUAUGCAUCUUUCUCCGCCUUCCCCAUCUUCCUAAUGAUGACACAGUCACAUGGCCAGUACUGUUCUCUUUUCCUUCAGGUCAUACAGCGGCUCUUUCUAGGAGUCUAGUUUCUUGCUAAUUGCAGAUGAAGCCUGAUCUGAUGGAUCCCCCUCGCCUUGAGAAUGCUCUGAUACUCUGAGACCUGGAGCUGGAUGUUUAGGAUAAUGCCUUCCUUGGAGCCUCACGCUUUGGGAAGGUGGUGAUUGACUGAUUCGUGCAUGUCCAUGCAAUUUGGCGCAUUCAGCUGCGUGCUUGCGGAUGUGGAUGUAUUUCACAGAAGCAGCAGCAGCCUGCCUUCCCUUCCCUGGAUUCCAUCUGCUGUGCGAAACAAGAUCUGCAGUCAUUCCCAGGGCUGGUUGAUCAUUUCCGGAUAAAUAACUCGGAUUGCAGCCAUGGGAUGAGGAAAAGGAGAAGCAGGGAGGGUUGUCCAGAAGGAGAGACACUCUACCAGCACUGUGUGGAUCAAAUAAAAAUAUUCAAGGUGACCUUGGGACAAGCGGUCUGUUACAUCAAGGUUUAACAGAGAUCCACCUUGAUUCCCAGAGGCAGGGCUCCUACUCACUCUCCUUCUUCCCUUUUGCCUUUCUGUCUCCUUGGUUGCUUGCUCCUUUGUCUCUCACGCCUCAAAAAUAAUCCACAGAUUCAAACCUUCUUUGCAGUUCCUGGAGAUAUCAUUCCAGGCCAGGAUCUCUCCCCCUCAUACCUUGAUGCCUGCAACCAUCUCUGAGUGCCUCUCCUUGCUCUACCUUGCUCACAAAUCUUUCCCACAUAAAGCUUACAAUAAUAUUUAUCUUACGUACUGCGUUCAUUUGGCUGCUUCUUAUAUUAUGAAUCUCAGAGAUUUGCUGUUACUUAUUGGUUCAGAUCAAUAGUUUUCAUUCUACCGCUUUCAGUCUUCUAUCCAUUAGCCUUCUACCUUUCUAACUAAUUUAUUUCAGGGAGUUCUGCAAUCUGGUUUCUUCCCUUCGGUAAGAUUCAUCUCUCACCAUGCCCCAAAUAGAGCCGUCCCUCCUUAUCCUCAGGAAAUACGUUCCAAGACCCCCAGUUGAUGCUUGAAACCGAGGAUGUUAUGGCACCCUAUAUAUGUAUGCUGUUUGUUUCUUGAUCUCAUGACCUAGAGGGCUACUUAGUGACUAAAUGGGCAAGUAGUAUAUACAGCAUGAAUAUGCUGAACCAAGGAAUGAUUUGCAUGGGACAGAGCAGGAAGGCAUGAGAUUUCAUCACAGUGUGCAAUUUAAAAUUUAUAAAUUGUUUAUUUCUGGAAUUUUCCAGUUAAUAUUUUCAGACAGUGCAACUGCGGGCAACUGGAACUGCAGAAAAUGAAACUUUACGUAAGGGAGACUGCUGUAUGUGAUUUCUCCCAACCCCCACCAUUUCCUAGCUAUGUGCACUUAUACGUGUUUUCUUUUUCUUUGAAUAACAUCCCACUUUCCAUCUUCAAUCCAUGUAAGUCAAUUUCUUUAAAUUAAGCUGAAGAAUAAUUUUCUCUAUGAAUUAUUUUAUGUUUACCUUAAU
rnacentral:lncRNA from 10 species